rnacentral:rRNA from 1 species
CAAUAGCGUAUAUUUAAGUUGUUGCAGUUAAAAAGCUCGUAGUUGGAUUUCGGGUGGGACGCAGCGGUCUCGCAUUGCGUUUGUACUGCUGCAGCCCUCCUUCUUGCCGGGGGCGGCCUCUCGGACUUCACUGUCUGGGGGUCAGAAUCGGCGAUGUUACUUUGAGUAAAUUAGAGUGUUCAAAGCAAGCUUACGCUCUGAAUAUAAUAGCAUGGGAUAACACGACAGGACUCUGGCCUAUCGUGUUGGUCUAUAGGACCAGAGUAAUGAUUAAGAGGGACAGUCGGGGGCAUUCGUAUUCCGUUGUCAGAGGUGAAAUUCUUGGAUUUACGGAAGACGAACAUCUGCGAAAGCAUUUGCCAGGGAUGUUUUCAUUGA